CAGUACUUACGGGUUUGGCACGGUGCGCAACCCGAAAACGCGCAACCCAAAGCGUCUGUAACCCAAGUCUCCAGAUCUGGAGUAAAAUGCUAGCACUAGCACAUCAGCUGCAGCUGAGCAUGACUGGCUGCAGCUACAGGAGAAGCGAGACCUUCUUGGGGUAUAAAUGCUGUGAACCCCUCCAUCGUAGGCUCAGGUUGUAUAUAUGUGUAAAUAAACCAUAUACUGUAUAAUAAAGACACCACAGUCUCCGCUGUGCCUCAUUUCCAGAAGGAAAAACGAACCCUGGAUAAGCGCCUGGAACCCCUGGAAUCUUGCACUGCUCAGAGAUUGGGUUGGUGUGCAGCAAUAGAGAUUUUUAAUUUGUG
rnacentral:lncRNA from 1 species